rnacentral:rRNA from 1 species
ACGGAGGGUGCAAGCGUUAUCCGGAAUUACUGGGCGUAAAGCGCGUGUAGGCGGUCCUGCAAGUCAGAUGUGAAAGCCCCGGGCUUAACCCGGGGAGUGCACUUGAAACUGUGAGACUUGAGUACUGGAGAGGAUGGGGGAAUUCCCGGUGUAGCGGUGAAAUGCGUAGAGAUCGGGAGGAAUAUCAGUGGCGAAGGCGCCCAUCUGGACGGUAACUGACGCUGAGGCGCGAAAGCGUGGGGAGCAAACAG